rnacentral:SRP_RNA from 1 species
UACGGGACUAGCCUGGGUAGCUUGGCGUUACCUGUAAUCCGAAAUUGUCAAUAUGCGGAGGGUGAAGUUUAGGGGCGGCUGCGGCAGCCAUUCUGGAAAGAGUGGGUUUCCGGCGUUGAUUCCUUGUCCUCCAAGGUCAUCGGAUGAAUAUAAGGUAUCCGGAGGGAUAUACUGAUUCAUUGUCGCAGGCACCGGUUCAGGCCCGGAAGGGAGCAGACCUACUGUGAACGAAUGGCGCCUGGAGGGGCGCAGGGCGGAGUCUGGCUCAUUCCGGAUGGAGUGGUAUGUGCUUCCCACCCUGAACAUGUCCUUUC